GCCAAGUGGAAUGGAGGAAUGUUCCUUCAUCUGAGCCACAUCUAAAACAUAGGGAGGAGAUAUCUGGGUUGAACCUGUGCAGUCUAGAUGGGGUGAUAUAGAGCUGAUGGAGGAAAUUAAACUGGAUCAGUCUGUAUCUGGAGUUCAAUGUGGAUGUAACCCCAUCCCUGCACAGGUCACUCCAUAGAUCCUCAUCAAGAUCAAUACCCAGAUCUUUCUCCCAUCUAAGUCGGGGUUUAUCUAGCCCAGGCAGUGUUAGUCCUGACAUAAGAGCAUUGUAAACACGGGAAAUGGUCUUGAACAGUGGUUGGUCUGCGUGGCAGAGUUGUUCAAUAGGUGACAUCUUAGGUAGGUUCCAUUGUCCCUUGAGAGUCACCCUAAUAAAGUUUCGUAGUUGUAGGUAGCUAAAGAAGUCCCUGUUAGGCAAGUGGUAUUUCUGUUUCAGCUGAUCAAAAGACAUAAGAACUCCCUCCUCGUAACAAUGUUCCAGAAGAGUGAUCCCCUUAUCAGACCGACAACACUCAUCUUGAUGGAGAUGUGCUUUUGCUGAGUCUCUGUGGUGGCUACAGUCUGUUCCAAACUGACAUGGUACCCCUGUGCGUGCUUAGGCUUGAUGCUGGUGUGUGUGUGCUUAGGCUUGAUGCUGGUGUGUGUGUGUGUGUGCGUGCGCUCUCGCUCAGGCUUGAUCCCAGUGUCACCGUGACGGGUUCUGAUCUUGACUGACAGCCCACCGGCCCCUAUCUACCUCACAAGGGUCCUUGAUGUGAGGGCUAGUCUCUGUUUCCUCCACGGCCCCCAUCACGCGGAGAGAGAGAGGAGGAAUCGAAACCCAGAGAGUAAUUUCUCUUUGACAGGCAAGCCAAAUCAUCACAUUGUGAGUUGACAUACAGACAGACAGCGUGCAGAAUACAGACAGACAGGUUUCUCCUCCACCCCACCAACCCUGUCUGUUUAUUCUCAGGUCUAUUACAAUAGGAGCAGGUAACAUGUCAAUUAUAAUACUGUGUGUCAACACUGGCCUGUAAUUUUGACUGCAACUGUGCUGUCUUGUCCAAUAUUUAUUUUCAUGUCAUGAUCUAGGACAUGAUUUGAAAUAACACUUUUCUUUCAAUUGCCAUAGUUACACCAUUUGGCCUGCGAUGCUUAAAAGCAAUGAAGGCUCUUCCAUUCGUGACCGGUUGGACACAGUCACACAUUGACCAUCUUUCAUCAGUGGAACGCCUAUGUAACCUGAGAUAGAUCCCAUGUGUAGUGAUGAAGACUCCGAGAGAGAUUCAGUGUGUGAUGGUUCUGUGAGUGGGAGAUUCAGUGUGUGAUGGUUCUGUGAGUGGGAGAUUCAGUGUGUGAUGGUUCUGUGAGUGGGAGAUUCAGUGUGUGAUGGUUCUGUGAGUGGGAGAUUCAGUGUGUGAUGGUUCUGUGAGUGGGAGUGUUGUAUCAGCCUUUCAUUCACUGGGUCUGACUAUGUCUCCUGCUAGGCUCUGCAGAGCCCCUCUCCUUCCAGUAAGUGAGAACGGUCUCCGGUACGGUGUCUAUUUGUUGAGGCGGUCUGAAAAUGGACACCGUACUCAAGGUCUGCGGGGAGGUGCUCUGUUACCCUGCAACACUCUUCUGAAGAUGGAGAGAGACUUCAGACGUGGCUAGACUUUAGUGUGGGAGGCAAAAGAGGCAGUUUUCAAGUAAUCAAGCAAGAAAAUAGCUUGGCGGAGGUCCAGAGGUGUCAAAAGCCCCAAAGUACAACGGAGACUACCAUUACUGUUUCCUGUGUUCAGCGUUUACACCCCUGAAUUAUGCCGUUGUUCUCUGCAGAGGAACAAAUGAUGUGGUGCUGAAUGCUGUGUAUGGAGGAUUGACAGGGGUGUCCUGUACAGAUGAGCAAUACCAGUGGAACUCGGGGGACGCAGCGGAAUUUAGCUCCAAAAAGGUUGAGCGAGAUCUGUUUCAAACGUCACAAACCAAGUGACGAGUUCUCUGACAGCACCACAGCCGCUUCUCCACCUCUACCUCCAACUCCUGCAUACCACUCCCACAACGCACUUAAACGUUUGAAAGGAGCCAAUGUUCCAGUGUGGAGCUUUCUACACAAGUGCAUCAAAGCUUAACCAAACAGUCAUUAGGUUCCAGCAGCAGCUACAACAGCCUUAUGGUGAACAUGGCAUCAACAUGCAGUGUCAGAAAUGCUUGUCAUAUUAUGACAUCUAUGUUAAGCUGGAGGAGUGUAAAUGUGCCAGCUUGGAGGAGGUCACUAAAGCACAGAGUGCCUCCCAUGCAUUGUAUGACGCGCGUUAGCUUUGGAUCACUGCUAGCUCAGCAAAGAAGGUUCCUGUGCGCACCUCAACAAAUCCCGACUUCGUUGUGCGGGAGAAUCUCUUCCCCCGGGUUCCGCAACCACAUAUAGCAAAGAGAACGAGCAGGUGGCCUACACAUGGAUGGAGAGCUGAGGGUUUAGUCUGGAGAGUGGAGGCACAAUAGUGAGUGUCAAGGAGCCAUGUUUUUUUUCUGCAAGCCCAGAUCGAGUGUUUAAACUCUCAAGAACUAUUAGAAAUCAAAUGUCCCCUUCUGAUUAAGAAGUGUGAGUCUCUGACUGAAAUGUUCUCUGGCAAACUCACCGAUGUGAAGCUGGUGCAUGGGGUUACUCAACCUAAUGGAGCCCGUGGGUACUACAUGCAGGUGCAAAUGGGCAUGUUCUGCACAGGACUGGAGAGAUGUGCUAGCAGUUGAUGUUAUUCUUCAAUAACACAGACCCCAAAGCAAAUCAGGGGGAGAAAAAUAUAUUUAUUUAAAGAGAACAAAUCAUAGUUGAAAGUAGAUGGUAGAUGUUUAUUCUUCCCUGUCCUCAAUGUUUCUCCUCUGAACAAAGAGACUGGAUGGAGUUUAUAACCCAACCCUAGCCCGUGGUUGACCAAUUAGAAUGUCUUGCAAUAAAACUGGGCCAAUGGCCAAAUAACAAAUAUCCUGUUUCAGGCUCAAUGUUUAGACAAUUCGGACCAAUGAGAACUUGACACAUGUAGCUAUGAGUCCCAGACUGAAAUUCCUCCCGUGUCCCUGACCCAUUAAUCUUCAGUUCCCCAUUAGAGAAAAACAACUAUUUCCAUUGAUAAUGAAUUCCCUCUUGACCUUUAGUCCUCUGAGUUGUGUAUUUAUCUUUGAAUAUUCGUACAGAUGCAAACUGCUUGUCUGGGCUCCAUCCGAGCAGGUUGUUAUUGAUGUGCCUUUUGAUGUGAAGUUCUGUGCUGAUCUUAUCCCUAAACUAAAGACAUUCUAUUUCACACACAUGCUGCCAAGGAUAGUAGAUGAGUUCCAGUCAGGCAGACCAACCCUGUGCUCCAAAUAUGUUCAUCUAUGUGGUAUCUAGGGGUCUUAUACUUCUCAGUUUUUAAAUGGUUCAUAUAUUUUGUGUCUUGUAAAGCUCUGUCAGCUCUACCUUAUUAUCUAAGCAUAACUCUUGAUUGGUGUUUUUGUCUGUCACAGUUCACCUUCAUAUGCACAUUUACCUGAUUUUAUAUUUGCAUAAUUCUUGUUUUUUUAUAUCUUGCCUUGUACAGCUCUCUUCAUACUUGUUUAUCUAAUGCCUACGGAUAAUGAUUUAUGAAUGUUUUUAUUGUCCCUUGUAUAACUCUCUUUUCAUAUGGCACUUUAUGAAUUUAUCUCAGCAUAUCAUAAUUCAUCUUGCACUUGGCAAAUGAUGGUGUUAAUAAAACCACUAUGAAAUUCAA